rnacentral:lncRNA from 1 species
UACCUUUGCUAUGAAGAGACAGAAAGAAACAUCAAGCGGACGAAGAAUACGAACCUCUCACUUUGAUCCGGACGUGCUCCAAAGCUGAUAGCGACCAGACGAAUCCACCUCUUUGCUUCAUCUGCAGUCCUUAUGUCGUUGUCUCCGACCACCACACGAGACAUUCCCCUGUUGAGGUAGGCCAUUUGUCAUCUCGAAUCCACCCAAGUAACAUGAAGCCAACCUAAUGGACCUGUAAACGUUACUCCUCCUGCACGAAGCAAUCACGAGAAGGAAUAAAACGCACCCCUUCCAUAUCUGAGGUUACUGCACCCAACACCUCUCAGCUUUUUGUAUGCUGCUCGUAUGUAUGUGUCAUUAUACCCUGAGUUGGGUCCCUCUCGUUGCACUCGUGAAGCAUCUCUACGGAUGUUUGUCUCGAGCCGUCUCUUUUUCUCCGAGGACGCCACAAAAGUAAAGCCGAUCCGUGAUCAUCCAAAAGAACAUACCGAGGAGAUAUGCAAUCAUGUCCGAUUCCCACGUCAUGAUCAAUGGCACCAUCUGCGACCCUCCUGCCGAAGCCACUUUGUGAACUGGAGCAGUUAGGCUCACGUACAAGGCAGGACUAAAAAUUGGGAGUCAUAAUAGCAAACACCUUGAGGGCGCUCUCUCUGUGGCUUGCGGCACAAGUUGAAACCGAUAACGGCGCACCCCACGCUCAUCAUUGAAUGUUACUAUUACUCGGGCGCGGGCAUACGCAACGCAAUUCCCCAUCAAUGAUUCCUACGAGGCGGAUAUAUAAGCCUUGGGCAUUCCUCUUCCACUGCAGAUAUCCCUCGGAAGCCCCAACCAAAAACACCAGACGAGUGAGUGAGCUACUUACUACUCAUGGCCAGGCGCAAGCACGCGUCCAUGCGCGAGAGAUCGACCGCCAUCUCCGGCAACGUGUUCAAGGCCUCGGUCCUGGCGCUCGCCAAGAUGGCGCUCGGGACGACCCGCGCGGCGCCCGCGAGGAUCGCGCCCGGCGCCCCGCUUCCGCCUCCCACCGCGAGGGCCAUGAAGCUGGUGGAGCCCGAGAGCCGCUGCGCGAACUACUUGAUGGAGCCGGGCGACGAAGGGGACGGCGUCGACGGGAGAGCAGAGGCCUACAUCACGAAGGUUCGGGCCAAGCUUUGCUCUGAUAGCGGUGGUCGUUCCCCGCCUCCCACGGCCAUGUAUGCCGCUUACAGUGCUGGGUAGUUAUAGGUAGGGGAGACAGGAUGCCUGUGUAGUUCGUUCCGGUCGCUGCUGUUCGUGUCACCUUGUUUACCAUAUCCAUGUCGUCGCAGUGAUGUGGUAGGACGCCGAAGCUUUAUGCUGUCUACUGAUGUGUGUUUCGACUCUGGUAGUAAUGUUUCCAUGUCUGGGAAAGUAUACCUAUCUGUCGCACGUGUCCCGUACACGUUUUAUUGGUGCAGAUGCUUCCGGCUUGGCGUCUCUCCCGAGUUCCAUCACGAGAGGGCACUUUUCCCACGCCACAUACAAGUGACAAGGAAAUAGAGCCCCUGAAAAGUAAAGUUCUUUAUCUGUCAUAUAAAACUAAGCAGGAAUUUUCUUUUUUGUUUAGGAAAAAAGUAUAUACGACACGAGAUAAAUCUGGUAAGUGGAAUAAUUACCAUAAUAAAAUUAUAUCAAUUUCGCCAUUUCCAAUUACCAGAUUAAGAGUCGGUGUCAAUUUUUCGUUUGCUUCGAAGGACCAGCCAAUCACCGAGCUAAUACGCCAUCCAUGAAGCGGAAGCCUAUAUGUAAAUUGACGAGCCAAUCUUUUUGGGGUGAACUCUCGGAAAACAAAAAAUAAAUCAUAAGUUUAAAUUUUUUUCAAAUAAUAUCUUAAUUUUUAAAAUUCUCUCAAAAUAUUUUUUAAAUAAUCAUUCUACUUUUAUCGAUAACUAUCCUUAUGGAGACGAAUAAGAUUGACAUGAAUGUUCGUGAUAUCCAUGAGAUUUGAUAAGGGUAUAAAGAUGACAACGAC